GAUGAACGCUGGCGGCGUGCCUAAUACAUGCAAGUCGAGCGAACAGACGAGGAGCUUGCUCCUCUGACGUUAGCGGCGGACGGGUGAGUAACACGUGGAUAACCUACCUAUAAGACUGGGAUAACUUCGGGAAACCGGAGCUAAUACCGGAUAAUAUAUUGAACCGCAUGGUUCAAUAGUGAAAGAGGGUUUUGCUGUCACUUAUAGAUGGAUCCGCGCCGCAUUAGCUAGUUGGUAAGGUAACGGCUUACCAAGGCAACGAUGCGUAGCCGACCUGAGAGGGUGAGCGGCCACACUGGAACUGAGACACGGUCCAGACUCCUACGGUAGGCAGCAGUAGGGAAUCUUCCGCAAUGGGCGAAAGCCUGACGGAGCAACGCCGCGUGAGUUAUGAAGGUCUUCGGAUCGUAAAUCUCUGUUAUUAGGGAAGAACAAAUGUGUAAGUAACUAUGCACGUCUUGACGGUACCUAAUCAGAAAGCCACGGCUAACUACGUG
rnacentral:rRNA from 1 species